AACGUACGCUGGCGGCACGCCUAACACAUGCAAGUCGAACGAAGUAGCAAUACUUAGUGGCAGACGGGUGAGUAACAUGUAGGUAUCUGCCCUUUGGCCUGGAAUAACACGAGGAAACUUGUGCUAAUACCGGAUAAGUCUUUACGGAGAAAGCUUUAUGCACCAUUGGAUGAGCCUGCACUUGAUUAGUUUGUUGGUGGGGUAAUGGCCUACCAAGACUGUGAUCAAUAGCUGAUUUGAGAGGAUGAUCAGCCACAUUGGGACUGAGACACGGCCCAAACUCCUACGGGAGGCAACAGUGGGGAAUCUUGCACAAUGGAGGAAACUCUGAUGCAGCGAUGCCGCGUGAGUGAAGAAGGCCCUUGGGUUGUAAAGCUCUUUCGUCGGGGAAGAAAAUGACUGUACCCGAAUAAGAAGGUCCGGCUAACUUCGUGCCAGCAGCCGCGGUAAUACGAAGGGACCUAGCGUAGUUCGGAAUUACUGGGCUUAAAGAGUUCGUAGGUGGUUGAAAAAGUUAGUGGUGAAAUCCCAGAGCUUAACUCUGGAACUGCCAUUAAAACUUUUCAGCUAGAGUAUGAUAGAGGAAAGCAGAAUUUCUAGUGUAGAGGUGAAAUUCGUAGAUAUUAGAAAGAAUACCAAUUGCGAAGGCAGCUUUCUGGAUCAUUACUGACACUGAGGAACGAAAGCAUGGGUAGCGAAGAGGAUUAGAUACCCUCGUAGUCCAUGCCGUAAACGAUGUGUGUUAGACGUUGGAAAUUUAUUUUCAGUGUCGCAGGGAAACCGAUAAACACACCGCCUGGGGAGUACGACCGCAAGGUUAAAACUCAAAUGAAUUGACGGGGACCCGCACAAGUAGUGGAGCAUGUGGUUUAAUUCGAAGAUACGCGCAGAACCUUACCAACACUUGACAUGUUCGUCGCGACUCUAAGAGAUUAGAGUUUUCGGUUCGGCCGGACGAAACACAGGUGCUGCAUGGCUGUCGUCAGCUCGUGUCGUGAGAUGUUGGGUUAAGUCCCGCAACGAGCGCAACCCUCACUUUUAGUUGCCAUCAUUAAGUUGGGCACUCUGAAAGAACUGCCAGUGAUAAGCUGGAGGAAGGUGGGGAUGACGUCAAGUCCUCAUGGCCCUUACGUGUUGGGCUACACACGUGCUACAAUGGUAUUUACAACAGGAAGCAAGACUGCGAAGUUAAGCAAAUCCCUAAAAGAUACCUCAGUUCGGAUUGCACUCUGCAACUCGAGUGCAUGAAGCUGGAAUUACUAGUAAUCGUGGAUCAGCGUGCCACGGUGAAUGCGUUCCCGGGUCU
rnacentral:rRNA from 1 species